UGACCAUGUGUUCAACGGCCGCGGUAUUCUGACCGCGCGAAGGUAGCGUAAUCACUUGUUUUUUAAAUAAAGACUAGUAUGAACGGCCGCACGAGGACCUAACUGUCUCCUUUGUCCAAUCAGUGAAACUGAUCUCCUCGUGCAGAAGCGAGGAUUUCACCAUAAGACGAGAAGACCCUAUGGAGCUUUAAACUUUUAUUAAUUAUUUUCACCCCCUCAGGAACUAACAAUCAAUUUAAUUUUUUAAUAAAAGUUUUGGGUUGGGGCGACCAAGGAGAAAAAAAAAUCCUCCUUGAUGAUAACCUAACUAAGAGCCACAGCUCUAACUAUUAAGACACUUAACUCCUAUUGACCCACUUUGUGAUCAACGAACCAAGUUACCCUAGGGAUAACAGCGCAAUCCAUUUCAAGAGUUCCUAUCGACAAAUGGGUUUACGACCUCGAUGUUGGAUCAGGGCAUCCAAGUGGUGCAACCGCUACUAAAGGUUCGUUUGUUCAACGAUUAAAGCCCUACGUGA
rnacentral:rRNA from 1 species